CAGUAGCCACGGGAAUACGGAGGGUGCAAGCGUUAUCCGGAUUUAUUGGGUUUAAAGGGUCCGUAGGCGGACUUAUAAGUCAGUGGUGAAAGCCUGUCGCUUAACGAUAGAACUGCCAUUGAUACUGUAAGUCUUGAGUAUAUUUGAGGUAGCUGGAAUAAGUAGUGUAGCGGUGAAAUGCAUAGAUAUUACUUAGAACACCAAUUGCGAAGGCAGGUUACCAAGAUAUAACUGACGCUGAGGGACGAAAGCGUGGGUAGCGAACAGGAUUAGAUACCCCCGUAGUCCCUGUCUCUUAUAC
rnacentral:rRNA from 1 species